rnacentral:rRNA from 1 species
AGCGAACGCUGGCGGCAGGCCUAACACAUGCAAGUCGAACGAAGUCUUCGGACUUAGUGGCGGACGGGUGAGUAACACGUGGGAACGUGCCUUUAGGUUCGGAAUAACUCAGGGAAACUUGUGCUAAUACCGAAUGUGCCCUUCGGGGGAAAGAUUUAUCGCCUUUAGAGCGGCCCGCGUCUGAUUAGCUAGUUGGUGAGGUAUAGGCUAACCAAGGCUACGAUCAGUAGCUGGUCUGAGAGGAUGACCAGCCACAUUGGGACUGAGACACGGCCCAAACUCCUACGGGAGGCAGCAGUGGGGAAUCUUGCGCAAUGGGCGAAGGCCUGACGCAGCCAUGCCGCGUGGAUGAUGAAGGUCUUAGGAUUGUAAAAUCCUUUCACCGGUGAAGAUAAUGACUGUAGCCGGAGAAGAAGCCCCGGCUAACUUCGUGCCAGCCGCCGCAGUAAUAC